AGUGAACGCUGGCGGUAGGCCUAACACAUGCAAGUCGAACGGCAGCACAGUAAGAGCUUGCUCUUACGGGUGGCGAGUGGCGGACGGGUGAGGAAUACAUCGGAAUCUACUUUUUCGUGGGGGAUAACGUAGGGAAACUUACGCUAAUACCGCAUACGACCUACGGGUGAAAGCAGGGGAUCUUCGGACCUUGCGCGAUUGGAUGAGCCGACGUCGGAUUAGCUAGUUGGCGGGGUAAAGGCCCACCAAGGCGACGAGCCGUAGCUGGUCUGAGAGGAGGACCAGCCAGACUAGAACGGAGACACGGUCGAGACUUGGACGGGAGGAAGCAGGGAUGACUCUGCCACAAUGGGCGAAAGCAGAAGGGAGCCACGCCGCGUGCAGGACGAAGGCGUUCGGGUAGUAAACUGCUUUUAUAAGUGAGGAAGAUGACGGUAACUUAUGAAUAAGGAUCGGCUAACUACGUG
rnacentral:rRNA from 1 species